rnacentral:rRNA from 1 species
UACGUAGGGGGCAAGCGUUGUCCGGAUUUAUUGGGCGUAAAGAGCGUGUAGGCGGCUAGGUAGGUCCGUUGUGAAAACUCGAGGCUCAACCUCGAGCUGUCGAUGGAAACCAUCUAGCUAGAGUCCGGAAGAGGAGAGUGGAAUUCCUGGUGUAGCGGUGAAAUGCGCAGAUAUCAGGAAGAACACCCGUGGCUAAGGCGGCUCUCUAGUACGGUACUGACGCUGAGACGCGAAAGCGUGGGGAGCGAACAGG